UCAUCUUUCAUGGGAUGCAUGCCUCAAGAUUGCGGUUGGGGCUGCCAGAGGCUUGGCCUUCUUGCACAAUUCCUGUAAUAUGAUACACAGGGAUUUCAAAAGUGCAAAUAUUUUGCUAGAUGAGUCUUACAUGGCCAAACUCUCGGACUUUGGAUUGGUGAGGUCCGGUCCUCUAGAGGACAAGUCACAUGUUUCAACGCAGUUUAUGGGUACCACUGGCUAUUGUGACCCUGAAUACAGAGCAACUGGUAAUUUUUCCAAUGUAAAAUGCUUUUUUGUGACUUAGUGCUGGCUGAUGCUCGGUCUUGAAUUUUGACAAUACUGUCGGGAAGUUAUUUUCUGAUGCUUUGCUGCAACAUCACAUAAGACUCUUGGAUUUUACAGGGCAACUCACUGUAGAGAGUGAUGUUUACAGUUUUGGCAUCGUGUUGCUUGAGAUACUAACAGGUUGCAGGGCAUUUGAUCCGAGCAGUCCAGCAGAUAGAGUUAAUUUAGUGGAGUGGACCAGACCAUACUUAUCCGGUAAAAGAAAACCGUGGGCUCUAGUUGACACGAGAUUGCGGGGCGAAUAUUGUGUGGACUCUGUACGCCAGAUAGCACAGCUAGCUAAUAUAUGCGUCGGACUUAAUCCUAAGUCCCGGCCUUCCAUGUCUGAAGUCGUGGAAAAAUUGGAAUCAAUAGAAGCUGUCAGUGCUAAAGGAAUACUACGGAAUGUGUGAAUUUAUUUGUUAUGUUGUUUGUACUUCAUGUGAUGGGAUCAAAGUCUGUUGCUUCCCAGGAUUACUCUUGGGCUUUGAAUAUUCUUUUCGAUUGUACCCAGUAGUUACCAGGUGUUGUGCCUUCUUGUAUGCUCUUUGGAAUAUUCAUACGUGUCUAUCAUUAUGUGCAUCAACUUCUGAAUUGAGACGUUGUGAUUACACUUUCUUUAAGAGGGGAACUGUUUUCUGA